GAUGAACGCUGGCGGCGUGCCUAAUACAUGCAAGUCGAGCGAACAGACGAGGAGCUUGCUCCUCUGACGUUAGCGGCGGACGGGUGAGUAACACGUGGAUAACCUACCUAUACGACUGGGAUAACUUCGGGAAACCGGAGCUAAUACCGGAUAACAUGUUGAACCGCAUGGUUCAACAGUGAAAGACGGUCUUGCUGUCACUUAUAGAUGGAUCCGCGCCGCAUUAGCUAGUUGGUAAGGUAACGGCUUACCAAGGCAACGAUGCGUAGCCGACCUGAGAGGGUGAUCGGCCACACGGGAACUGAGACACGGUCCAGACUCCUACGGGAGGCAGCAGUAGGGAAUCUUCCGCAAUGGGCGAAAGCCUGACGGAGCAACGCCGCGUGAGUGAAGAAGGUCUUCGGAUCGUAAAACUCUGUUAUUAGGGAAGAACAAAUGUGUAAGUAACUAUGCACGUCUUGACGGUACCUAAUCAGAAAGCCACGGCUAACUACGUG
rnacentral:rRNA from 1 species